ACCGUCUAGAGGUAAGCGGGUGGACCCGUCCAGUCGGCCCUCGGAAUUCAGCUUUUGGGAAAGUCUGCUGGCGCAGUUCUGGGAUCCCUGGGACUCGCUCGGCGCCAGACCGGACUCCCGAGAGUGCACUUUCCGUGUUGGCAGAGCGUCACGACCGGUUUUGCGGCGGUGAGAAGGCCCUCGGGAAGGUAGGUCGUCGUCCUUCGGGGUGACGACUGUUAUAGACCUUGGGAGAUGGCCGCUGCGAGACCGUGGAUCGACCCGUCGUAGGGCAGUGGGGCUUCCCGUGUGCGUUCGACUCGGAAGGACAGGCUUGCCGUGCUUCCGGACUGCGCUGCGUGGGAGGACUCUGCUAUAGCCCGCGAUGCGUUAGGGUCAGUGACACACGAUCGGUAAUCCACCCGGCCCGUCUUGAAACACGGACCAAGAAGUCCAACAUGUGCGCGAGUCAUUGGGUCCUACGAAACCUAAAGGCGUAAUGAAGGUGAAGGCAGGUUCGGCCUGCUGAGGUGAGAUCCUCGUCCUCGGGCGGGGCGCAUCACCGGCCCGUCUGCAAAGGCGGAGCAAGAGCGCACACGUUGGGACCCGAAAGAUGGUGAACUAUGCCUGAGCAGGAUGAAGCCAGAGGAAACUCUGGUGGAAGUCCGUAGCGAUUCUGACGUGCAAAUCGAUCGUCGAACUUGGGUAUAGGGGCGAAAGACUAAUCGAACCAUCUAGUAGCUGGUUCCCUCCGAAGUUUCCCUCAGGAUAGCUGGCGCUCGUCUUAACAGUUUUAUCCGGUAAAGCGAAUGAUUAGAGGCCUUGGGGACGAAACGUCCUCAACCUAUUCUCAAACUUUAAAUGGGUAAGGAGUCGGACUCGCUCGAUCUGGAGUCCGGACUGGAAUGUGAGUGCCAAGUGGGCCACUUUUGGUAAGCAGAACUGGCGCUGUGGGAUGAACCAAACGUCCGGUUAAGGUGCCUAACACUGACGCUCAUGAGAUACCAUAAAAGGUGUUGGUUGAUAUAGACAGCAGGACGGUGGCCAUGGAAGUCGGAAUCCGCUAAGGAG
rnacentral:rRNA from 1 species